UUCAGACAUCACUGAUAUCGAAGAUCAUAAUGAGGGCCACCGGUUCUAGAUGAGGGAGGGAACCAAGAGAAAAUUAUUCACCAAGAAUUGUUGUCAAGAUGGAAGAUCAACUGAAUAAUACUUUGUUUCAAUUAUCCACCUACAUCGCUGCAAGUGUAUGUUGUUAGAUAUAACAUCUGCACCAUUUAGUGAUUGUGCCUUGCAGCUAGUGAUUGUGGUUUGGAGGCUAGUAAAGCUAUAGGUGAGAGAGCUGACUUACAGGUACACGAGUUGGCUGCAGAGGCGAAGCCAAGGUCGUGACCGCCUCGCAUGGGCGUUGCCAGUGGGUGCCUGAGGCCUGGGCGGUGCCGCUUGACCACGGAGG
rnacentral:lncRNA from 1 species